rnacentral:lncRNA from 1 species
UGAGAUCCCGCUUGGAAGAAGAACAACUCCGAGAUGUCGACGAACCAACGUAGUCGAACGAGUCCUCACAUUCCGACACGCUUGCGGAACUCUAUCGAGACGGAGCAAACCGGAAACAAACAUCAACACAAAUAUUCACCACACGAUGCACAACAUGAUGCAUAACCUACUAUGAUGCAUGAUCAGUUCAAAGAUGCAAGGGAUGGCAUGGCAAUUCACCUCACACAAACACUACACAUUAAGUGAAGCUCGAUAUGCAACGGGUUGCAUAUCGAUAAAACUCCACAAUUGAUUAUUUAGUUCACUCCCGAUUAUUUACACGGCAAUAUUAAAUUGUAGUUAACAUGACAAGGGUGAAGCGACGUUCCUACAUGACAUCCUAGUCGGUUAACACGCGGAGCAUAGAACGGAGCUACGGUUAAAUAUCUACGACCUAAACCGUUUAACACGAUGACACACAAACCGAUGCAAACAACAUGCUAAACAGUUUUAAAUAUGCAUGAGACUUGAAAAAAAUAUGAAUCUACGUGAAAUUCUAGCCAUGUUACAUAUAUAACUUCUCGCAAUCCGACGCACGUAUUAAAAGUUACGCGGGUUUUUUUCAAAAUCAUGCAAUUUUUUUCUAAAUUACCAAAUUCGCAGAGCGGAAAAAAAAUGAACAUAGGUCGAAUUGCAACUUGGAGUGGCCCACUAGUGGAUUUAGCCCAAGCGGAUGUGCACACACAAGAAUAAAAUGGAGGCUUCACUAGGAUUCGAUCCCAUGACCUCUUUAGGGGAGAGGAAGGCACCAGCCAGUCGAGCUACGAAGCAUCUGUGAAAGGAUAUGGGUUUUAGUCUAUAUGAAGGAGCAUAAGGGGCCAACCUGAACCAAAAACAAAACAAUCUUUAGGGGAGAGGAAGGCACCAGCCAGUCGAGCUACGAAGCAUCUGUGAAAGGAUAUGGGUUUUAGUCUAUAUGAAGGAGCAUAAGGGGCCAACCUGAACCAAAAACAAAACAAAAAUAGGGGUUCCUGUGAUUCGAACCCUAGACUUCACGAUUGCAAACCCACACGCUAACCAACUAGGCCACCACGAAAUUAUGAAAAACCAUGAGAAGUUCGCUAGAUGAAAGGGCCAUGUUGCUGACUGCAUAAAACUGAAUCUGGAAAGCGUAGUUGCUUCAAGCGAACCUGUCAGGUUCAGACUUGGCAGAACUGACGGCGAUGCACAGGAUUGCACGGCUGGAUCCAUGGGGUGGCUUGGGGACGACGCGGGGUUGGGGUUGCGGUCGCGAUGUAGCAUGUCCAGGCACUGGAAGAUAAGCAAACGAGGAGACAUCGAGGGUAGCGUGGGUCAACGGUGCAGGGAAGACAAAGGCCAUUGCGCUGGACCUGCAGAUGACGUCGACGGCACCCAAUGAUGGAGAAGGACGAAUCCUGGUGGAAUGGACAGUUACGGGCAUGAGGAGUCCAAUCCCGAUGACGAGGGCCUUCUGGGUGGCACGGACGGCAAGCUCCAUGGGCGGCGGCGGAGGGUUUUCCGUUCUGCUC